AACUUUCAGCAAUGGAUCACUAGGCUCUUGCAACGAUGAAGAACGCAGCGAAAUGCGAUAAGUAAUGUGAAUUGCAGAAUUCAGUGAAUCAUCGAAUCUUUGAACGCACCUUGCGCCCUUUGGCUAUUCCGAAGGGCAUGCCUGUUUGAGUAUCAUGAACACCUCAACUCUCAUGGUUUGCCAUGAUGAGCUUGGACUUUGGAGGUCUUGCUGGCCAGCGGUCGGCUCCUCUCAAAUGAAUCAGCUUGCCAGUGUUUGGCGGCGCCACAGGUGUGAUAACUAUCUACGCUUGUGGUUUCCUGUCAGGUUUCCUUCAGUGAUGGAGGUUCGCUGGAGCUCAUAAAUGUCCCUCCCCAGUGAGGGCAACUUCAUGAAUGUUUGAUCUCAAAUCAGGUAGGACUACCCGCUGAACUUAAGCAUAUCAAUAAGCGGAGGCU
rnacentral:misc_RNA from 1 species